rnacentral:rRNA from 1 species
GCAAGUCGAGCGCACCUUCGGGUGAGCGGCGGACGGGUUAGUAACGCGUGGGAACGUACCCAGAUCUAAGGAAUAGCCACUGGAAACGGAGAGUAAUACCUUAUACGCCCUUUGGGGGAAAGAUUUAUCGGAGAAGGAUUAGCCCGCGUUAGAUUAGAUAGUUGGUGGGGUAAUGGCCUACCAAGUCCACGAUCUAUAGCUGGUUUGAGAGGAUGAUC